rnacentral:lncRNA from 1 species
GGACUUGUCUAGAUCUAUAAUGACUGCUUAGUUUGAAAGGCUAGAAGUACGACGGGAUUACGCCGGAGACGAUGAGUUUGGCUGACGGGAGAUGUAGGGUUUUUUACAGAAAAAGGUGUCUUCGGUAAAAGAUAAAAAACAUAUUACAGUAAUUAAUAAAACAAAAAAAAAAAAAAGUUAAUCGUUGGGUUGGUUGGGGUAGCAAGCUUUCAUUAGUUGAAGGGGUAGUAAUGAAAUAUCACAUAAGAAAACGGUGCCUUGGACACAAACGGUGUCUUCCUGUUAUACAAAACACAUAAACG